UCCUGCCAUUUGAAUUAUGAUGGGGGACAUAGCUGGGGAGCCCAUUAGCCUCCGUGGCACAUGGCCAUGCUUUCAUAAGCUUGCAAGAGAUGGAGUUUUUCUAUAUAGCUUUUAUUUUUUUUGGUCAAAGAAAGCAUUCUCCAAGGGCUGACUACAGACAAAAUCCCUGGUCUUUUUGGCAGAAUUCCCUGGUACUUACACAGCCAGGUUUUCUGUGCUCCAGCUCUGGUGUGACCCACGCUUUCAACACAUCCAGGGCCAAACGAGGAUCUUUUGACUCAGGCUGAAUCUGACCAUUUUUCUUCUAUGGGAAAGAUGUAAAUAAUUCCACGGGUGGGAGGAGAAAGGUGAUAUUCAGGAUGAGGAAAAGUGGCCAAGACUGCAGACCUGGCUCUAAGUGGAAGGAUGUGUUGAGGACCAAGCCAUAGACCUGCUGGAUCAAUAGUCCAGCUCAGACUGCUCAGCCCUGGAGGGCACCUGCCCAUCCUGUCCCUCCAGCCUCUGGGGUCAGGUCUGUGCUGCUUCUCACUGCUGGCAAAACCAGCAACACUGCAACAGAGAAUGGGGACUUUUCUGAGCUCUUGUCCAUGACACCAGAUGUGCCUGUGCUUUUUUUCAAGCUCAUUUGAAUGUAUGUAAUGGACUUCUGGCUUUGAAAAAUCAUCAGUUACCAGAUGUCUUUUAAAUUGUCUACCUUGCAGGAUCGUCCGUUACCAGAUGUCUUUUAAAUUGUGAACCCCUGUAGUCAGAGGUUAAAGCUGUGUCAAAACAGUCACUGAUAUGAUUUCAUACUACACUUUAAAUGCACUAUGAUUUCCUCCAACUCCUUCCCCUUUAAAGUCCUCUCAUGGAAAUUUUAUGGCUCACCCAAGAUUUGCCACCUGCCCAUCGCUAGAGAUUCAGUGAUAAAUGCUUUUAAUAAUUAACAGUGGCAGGGGCUUUGUAGCUGUGUCUCAUGGAUAUCUCACCUCUCAGACAGCAGAAAUAAAAGCCUGUUGUAACAGCAAGAGUAAUGAUCUGGAUGCUGGUGGAAGGUUCCUGCAGCUGCACCAUCAGUGCAGAUCUACACCUGGAGCUGUUUGCAAGCAGGAUUUGUCCUGGGCCCAGUUUGGAGCUCAAGGCAGCUGGAGAAGCAGCGAUGCUUGCAGAGUUCCUAAGAUGUUUGCAAUGACAUAUGAGCCAGCACUGCUGUUCUUUUGCACAAACCCUGUUGGGCCAGGCGCUGCAUUGGUGCAGAGCAAAAAGCAGCCCUGAAGAGCUCUCAGGCUCACAAGGUAAGUACUUCUCCUUGUCCAUUAAUUUCCUCUCCCAGAUUUAAAGUGCAAGGACAAAUAAAUGU
rnacentral:lncRNA from 1 species